CAGGUGUUUAAAAAAUCAACGUAUCCUUACAUCUUAUUGCUGAUUAAAAUAAGCAGAGUGCGGUAUUUACAUGACUAUUUCCACACUGCUAUAAUCUGUUCAAUAUUGAAUUAUUACUGUGCAUGUAAACAUACUCAUUGUCAAAUUGGUUUGAGAUCGUUAUGUGUUAAAAGCUUCACUCAGUCUGGAGAUCUGACCAAACACAAGCACAUCCACCCUGGGGGAGAGGCCAUUUGGAACGUUCUGAACACCUCCGACGGUUUCUCUCUUUGGUUGACAAGCAAUUGACGUUUUUUCAUUAUUAAAAAGGAAACUGCCUCCUAGAACCUUCUCUGGUUAUAAAGGACUAUAUGGCAUCGAUAUGAGAAACCGUCAGAAACAUUCAUUCUAGUGACAACAUUGGAUAAUGAAAAGGAUCAUUUUGGUCAUAAAAUCAGUCUCGUCCAAAACGAGAUUUGCAAGUGAGUGCGUCACAACAGCUUUUAUGUAGAUCUAAAAUUAUAUUAUGAAAAGAGAAGACCGGAAGAUCAUCAGUCUCCAAUGCACCAUCUGACAAGUUGUUCUAUAGAGGAGCGUGAGGAAAGUGUCGUCGGGAAACCCUCCAACCAUAUCAGGAGUAGAAGGCUGAGGCAGACCUUGGCAAGGCAACAGACGCAUUUCAGAUGGAGGAUGGGAGAGAUGGUUUGUCAUGGAGUCCCCUGACUGACUAACAGACAGGUUGAUACAGAUGGAGUCCCCUGACUAACAGACAGGUUGAUACAGAUGGAGUCCCCUGACUAACAGACAGGUUGAUACAUAUGGAGUCCCCUGACUAACAGACAGGUUGAUACAGAUGGAGUCCCCUGACUAACAGACAGGUUGAUACAGAUGGAGUCCCCUGACUGACUAACAGACAGGUUGAUACAGAUGGAGUCCCCUGACUAACAGACAGGUUGAUACAGAUGGAGUCCCCUGACUAACAGACAGGUUGAUACAGAUGGAGUCCCCUGACUAACAGACAGGUUGAUACAGAUUGAGUCCCCUGGCUGACUAGCAGACAGGUUGAUACAGGAGAGAUGGUUUGUCAUGGAGUCCCCUGAAACAGAUGUCUGAACUAGAGACCUUGCUCUCAGCAUUACAAUGAUACUAGUACUUGUCAUCAUCUUCUGUUAUUAUUUAAUUUAAUGGUAGGGGGGGGGGGGGACUAGGU